AUGGAGCCCGUCGGCGGCGGCGGCGGGGGCGCGUCCUCGGCGGCGGAGCGGUACCGCGCGGAGGCGGCGCGGGCGUUCCAGCACUACCUGGACCGGGCGGCGCCGCACACGGCGGGGCGGUGGGCGGGCACGCUGCUGGCCGCCGCCGUCUACGCGCUGCGGGUCUACUACGUCCAGGGCUUCUACGUCGUCUCCUACGGCCUCGGCAUCUACCUCCUCAACCUCCUCAUCGGCUUCCUCUCCCCCAUGGUCGACCCGGAGCUGGAGGCGCUCGACCAGGCCGGCCCCGCGCUCCCCACCCGCGGCAACGACGAGUUCAAGCCCUUCAUCCGCCGCCUCCCCGAGUUCAAGUUCUGGUAUGCCAUCACAAAAGCCUUCUGUGUUGCUUUUGUCAUGACAUUCUUCUCGGUAUUUGAUGUUCCAGUCUUCUGGCCAAUACUACUCUGCUAUUGGAUUGUGCUCUUUGUCCUGACAAUGAAGCGGCAGAUUUUACAUAUGGUCAAAUACAAGUAUGUCCCAUUCAGCAUGGGGAAGCAGAAGUACGGAGGAAAGAAAGGCCCAUCAACCAGUGGAUCCAAAGAUUGA
rnacentral:rRNA from 1 species